rfam:Xanthomonas albilineans GPE PC73 complete genome
CACCAAGACUCUGGAGAGACCGGUCAAACCCGGCGCCGAAGGGGCACGAAGCGCAGCGCGAUCCACGGCGGCUUCCAAACUCUCAGGCAAAAGGACAGAGGGGCACAU